UACGUAGGGCGCAAGCGUUAUCCGGAAUUACUGGGCGUAAAGCGCACGUAGGCGGAUUUGUAAGUCAGGGGUGAAAUCCCGGGGCUCAACCUCGGAACUGCCUUUGAUACAGCAAGUCUUGAGUUCGAGAGAGGUGGGUGGAAUUCCUAGUGUAGAGGUGAAAUUCGUAGAUAUUAGGAAGAACACCGGUGGCGAAGGCGGCCCACUGGCUCGAUACUGACGCUGAGGUGCGAAAGCGUGGGGAGCAAACAGG
rnacentral:rRNA from 1 species